GACAGAGGAAUCGAUCACUUUCCCAACCAAGAACAGGGAAGGAAAACUAUCCAAAACUAACCUCUGGCAACGAGGAUUCGUAGCUGGGACCUUUCGUCGACGACACUCGCUCGUAAGCUCCCGGAUCUCCAGUCUUCCUCUUGGCUAUGUCGGAGGCAAGGCUAUCACUAUCCUCGAAUUUGGCUGGCUUCUUGGCAGCGGCAGCAUAGGAUUGACGCUCCUCACCUCCGGCGGAAGACAUAGCUUGCUACACAGAAAAAAAAAUCGAAACUCGCCUUGAAGAGGUAAAUUUCUCCACGCUCGACGCUCCCUUGAUCGUCUCUCUCUCUCUCUCUCUCGCGCGCGCGCUACUUCCACUUGGUGAUGUUCCUCCCAGGUAUGGAGAAGAGAUAGCGAUGAAGAAAACGAAGAGAAGGCAGCUAUGGUGGCGCCUGUGCAUGCUCGGCACGUGUUGAUGCUACGUGGCCACUUGCAAAACGCUUUCCACUAAUCCAGUGUCAAUGCUAAUCCACGUUUGUUUGUGAGGUGGUCCCGUACAGCGUGCUUCUGUUAGAACCGUACGAGAUUGUCACUCAAUCUAUCACGUUCCAAACCUUGGACCUGUCCAAACAAUUUUAAGACCCACUAGCCUCCCACCACCAACGAACUAUAAUGGCUGGAUGGGAAUCGCAUACUUGCAAGAUUUUAACAUUAUUACCACCACCACCUUAUCACAUUUUUCUUACCUUUCUUCCCUAUCAUAGUAGUAGUGGUUGCAAC
rnacentral:lncRNA from 1 species